rnacentral:piRNA from 1 species
UUGCUGUGCUGUGAAGCCACUCUGUC